GCGGAAGUAGUUCAGUGGUAGAAAACCACCUUGCCAAGGUAGGGGUUGCGGAUCGAAUUCCAUCUUCCGCUCCA
rnacentral:tRNA from 1 species